rnacentral:rRNA from 3 species
UUAGGUGGCCAUGGCGACGGGGCCCACCCCUUACCAUUCCGAACAGGGAAGUUAAGACCGUUUGCGCCGAUGGUACUGCUAUAUCAAGUGGGAGAGUAGGUAGCCGCCUUUU